CUUCUUUGGUCUGAGGUCCACAGGAUAUCUCAGACAGCAGCGUUGGAAUAGAGGAGUAAGAGAGCAAUGUCUUGUUGGGUUGAGGGGGAUCCUGUGCGGCGACGACGGCGGCCCUAAGAGAGGAGGUGCGUAGAGGGCGUGUGGGCGUGGUGGAGGCGUGCGGUCGCCUAAGGCGCGAGGUGGCCGCCGGCGGUCGCGAGGUCGAAGCUGUCGGUGAUAGCCGGGGAAAAAGACCAAAAAGUCUAGUCUAACCGAGGCAGUGAGGAGGGCGAGCUCCGGCGGCAGCGUCGAGCUCGGAGCUCGUGGCGGCAGCGACGUGGGGGGAAGUGGAGGUUUAGUCUGUGCCCAGCCAGAGCGCGCGCUCGUCCGCGGCGGGUGCCGGGCGUCGGGGACUCGUUGUACAGUUGCGGGUGCCGGGUGGCGCAACAGCUCGCAGAGGCCGUUUCAGCGCGGCAGCGUCUAUCUCUCCUGGUACCGGCGGACUUCGGGCUCGCGGCGGCCGCAGGUCUGGGGAGGUGCGGUAGGGGUAGAGCGGCUUCUGGACGUAGUUCAGAGGGUAGGUCGCGGGCGCGGUGGGAAGCCGGGGGCGGGGCGUCGAGAUGUGGUGCUCACGAAGCCAGCGGAGCGCUGGGCGGCCACAGGUCUGGGGGAGGUGUAGUAGGGGUAGAGCGUCUUCUGGACGUAUUUCAGGGCAGGUCGCGGGCACGGUGGGUAGCGGGAGCGGGGCGACGAGACGAUAAGCUCGCGAAGUUGGCGGAGCACGGGCUUCGUCUCCUCUCCUCGAGGGACGGUGCUCGGAGAGGUCGCGGCCGUCGUGAAGUCGGCGGAGCACGGGCUUCGUCUCCACUCCUCGAGGGGGACGGUGCUCGGAGAGGUCGCGGCCGUUUGGUCGUCCCGCGGGGAAGGAACCGAGGAUGCCGCACCUGUGGCCGCCGUUCGACGCCGGGGCCGCUACCCUUGCGUUUACCUAUCGCCGCCACCAAGGGCCACCACUUCAAAUUAUUUCCUAGCCCCCAUCUUAACAUUGAUUGCGUCCCCACAAAAAUGCUUAUACUUCGUAAAAAAAUCUAUGGGUGAAUUUUGUCAUGAAACCCAACUUAUUGAUUUUAUCAUCCCCCAAAAGACGUUUUUGCCGCUGCUGCAUGCUGGUCUUCGUGAGCCACGAAAUAAUCAUCCAUCUCUGAUCAUGUUUACGGGCACGCAACGUGGCCCACUAUUUUCACCAUCUUGGAUGAACUACCAAGUAAAAAGCAGUAUAAAAUAUAGGUUAAAAUUAUUUACAACUUGCACCUUUAAAGGAAAAAAAAUUAUUUUGAAAUUAUAAAGUAUAUUUUACACAACGGUGCCCUUUACUUAACUUG
rnacentral:rRNA from 1 species